rnacentral:lncRNA from 10 species
ACUAGUGUCUCCCCUGCUUCAGGGGACACCCACUGUCAGAGUGAACGACAAAGACGCGCGUGGAUGAUUUGAAGAUAUUAGCCUAACAAGAUGGAAGCAGGUUUAAAAUUUUACAUAAGAAGUUACCUUUUUCAGUUGUGUUGAUGUUCCUUUCAGCUGGUCCUAUAGUACCCCUCCUCAGGAAUGUCUCCCCAGUGCAAGGACAAAGACUGAAGAGACUGCUAUAUUGAUGGACUCUCAAGCCAACUAUGAAGUUGAAACAAAGAAAGUGAUCACCUGAAGACACCUCCUCUGCUAAGAAACACCCCCAAAUUGUGCAGCUUCUGCCACUAGAACUCUCAGAACAAGAGACAAUCUUUUCAAGAAACAGAAAAACUCAAUAAUGACAUCUAGAUUUUCAUGAGCCAAGAACUUUCCCUUCCUCAUGUGUAUUCCUCUGUUUGUACUUAAAUUCAUGUGACAUUCAUUUUUUUCCUAGUAUGGAUAUGCUUAUUAAUGCACUUGUUUCAAAAUCCCAAAUUGCACAAAUGUGUUAAUAUUUUAAGAAACAAAAUGAAUCCUACAAGGAGAAUGAUUUUUAGCCACACAUAGGGUUGGAUCUUGAGAGUGACCUACAGAAUAAAAGUACUUUUAAAAUAAAGUAGUCAGAGGCUAUUCAAAGGGUAAAAUAAUCAUAGUACCACAUUGGUCCACUUGACACUAACCAAUCGAUCAUUUUUUUUUAAUCAAGAAAGCUAGAUUCUAUCAGAUAAAAUCACUGCUUCUAAAGAGUUUAAAUCUAGUUAGAAAAAGUUAUAGAAAUGUUUGCAAAGAUAAGUAACAGAUAGAGUCAGUAGAGGAUAAGAUCAAAAACAAAACCAAGCAAAAGAUGAGUUCAGGGGAGUUUGCCAUCAAGUUGGCAAAACUGACUUACUUAGGGAAGAAAGUUAUAAAACAGGAAAAUAUGAGAUGAACCUUGAGUGAUGUGGAAGAUUUAGAUAAAUGGAAAGGAAGGAGAAAAUGGAGUUCUUUAGGUGGUUGUAAUUGGAGGAGGAAAUGAAUACACACAUCUUGUUGACUUAAACCCAGACAUUCAGCAGCUCUCUAUACAUAUCUGGAAAAGACUGCACAGUCACCUCCUGUCUCUCACCCCAGGUAUUACUUAGAAUUAUUAUCAUAUUUCCCUUCCUUUAAAGUAAGUAAGGGUGAUUGGUGACAAUAUGGAGAACUAUGAUUUUUCCAUUAACCUAAUAAUAAUUGGUAUUUAUUGAGUUCUGUUAAGCAUUUUACAUAUUAACUCACUUAAGCCUUUCAACAGCCUUGCAAAAUAGGUAUUAUUAUCCCCAUUUUACAGGCAAGAAAACUGAGGUUUAAGUAACUUGCCGAAGUGCCAUAUACAGGGCUCACAUUCAGUAUUGCAGUUGCAAAGCUCAUGAUCUAUAGUGCCAAGUUGCAAUAUUGUAGUCAAUGUCACAAUUAUUACCCCUUUUUAUAUUCCUUGAUAUUUUUCCAUGGCAAACAAUUAGCUAUUUCAUUUAAUAAUCACCUAAAACUUUUCAGUCUUCUGAUUAAAAUUACGCUGGAGUGAUAGAAUGUAUUUUCAUGAUAGAAAUUGGGAAAAAAAAUGGGGAAUGAAGUUUAUCAGCAUUUCAGACUUGUUUUUUUUUUUUUUUUUUGCAAGACUUUGAUGAGAUUGUUCACUUUUGUCUAUGUAAAAUCCCAAAUCCUUGAGAAUAAAAAAGGGGGAGGUUUAAGUCACUUGUUGCAAUGCCCUUUUUAAUAGAGGCAAUAAAUCUAAAGGCCAUAAAUUUAGAGUGACUUACAGAAGAUCGAACUUUGGAGUGUGGCAGAGUAAGGGAUGGAAACCGGGCCCUCCAGUUCACUAUCAGUAGCUUUUGCACUGGUCUGCCCUUCCUAAAUUAAGUAUGCACUUCAAUUUGAUGAGUGGAAACAGUCUAUCUGGGCAGUAACCAGGGAGCUUUGUGCCUAGUAGAUUGCUUCUGUUCUGCACUUCUUUGGUUUCCCACCUCAAUGUAAAAAAUAGCUAGCAAUGAAGUCCAGAAGUUGUCAAUGGUUCAUCCCCAGAAGAAUGCAUAAUGUCCAAAGUUGUAUGUGUAUGAUGUCUUCAAUGGUAUUAAGUUAUUUCAAAUUCUUAGUUCACCUACAUAAAUCAUUUCUAACAAGCAUCUUCUUAACCAACUUUAUGCACAGUGUAUGUUUGUAAGUGCUUCUGCACGAAUGUUUAUACAUGACUGUUUCCAUAGUACUUAUGUUUUUAAAAAUAUUCAGUCAUUUCCUACUAUAAUCCUCAUGUAUCCAUGUAACUGACUCAAAAAUACUUCAGCCACAGAAAGCUAAAACUGAGCAAAUCUCAUUCUUCUUUUCCAUCCCCUUUGCAUGUGGCUGGCAUUUAGUAAUGAUUAAUAAUAUGGCCAGCUGAAUAACAGAGGUUUGAGACACAAUUCUUUCUCAAAGGAGUCAGCUAAGCUGGGUCUACUUAUGGACAAACAUCUAAAUGUGUGGAAGUAUCUGAUAUUUGACAAUGGUAAAUUUCCACUUAGCUAGCUAGCAUUGUCAGACUUCAAUCUCCUCAUGGCUCUGGCCGUCCUGUUUUAAGCAUGAUAAUUGUUGGCCACAUCUCACAUAGUUCUCAUUGAGUGAGUUCAUAAAUAAACAGGGUUUUUUUUUUUUUUUAAAGAGCAGCCAAGCACAAAGUGUGACUUUGUUGACAUUUUAUGUGACUUUGUCAUAUGUUCCUAACCCCCAAUAAAAGCAAUGUUGCAUCAACUGUGAAUUUGUGUUGAUUUCUUGAAAAAGCAUGCUCUUAUAAUUUAUUUGUUUUCACUAGUGUAUAUCAAAGUUAGUUUCAAGAUCCACGAGGAACAAGUCAGCUAAUGUGAUAGGAAAAUUUAAAUGUGGAGACAACUUCUAAAGGAUCCCAUGUUACCUUUAAAUAAAAGGUACUGUCAUCUACCAAGUCAGAAACCAAGGUCUGGUCCUUGUCUCUUCCAUCUCCGCCAGCCAUGGUCAAUCACUCAGGUAAUCUUUUGAUUUUUUUUCUCUUUCCAUUGUUCAAAUAUGUCUACUUCUCUCCAUCUAUGCUACUGCAUUAAAGAACAACACUCAUUUCUCACCUGGACUACAGCACCAUGCCUCCAGUUUUCCUCUCCACACUGCCAAGGGGCAGCCGGGGAAAUCUCUCUAAACCACGAAUAUGAUUGUAUUAUUCCAUGGCUUCAAACUCUUCACUGGCUUCCCAUUGCCCUUGAGAUAUCGUGACACCUAAAGCCCUUCAUGCCCUGAUCCUGGCUCCAACAGUCCUCUCUGGACUCAUCAACUCUUCAGCCCCUCUGUGAUUCUAGGCUCGUGCCAUCCACCUGCCUUUUCUUAAUGUUCCCUCUAUCUUCUGGGCUUUCUCACACACUUCAGCUUCUACCUAGUACUUUCUCCACUACACCUUCCAAACUCCAUCCCUCAUCCUUCACAUCCCAUCCUAGAAGUCAUUUUCUCUGGAAAGUUUUCACCCCAACCUCUACCAGCGCUAAGACUAGCUUCCCCACCUAGGCGCUUUCAUGUCAUUCUGAGCUUACCUCGUAUUAGCAUUUAUCUUCCAGUGUUGUGCUCAUAUUUGAAUAUGAGAUUCUAG